GCCAGCUUGGUGUAGUGGUUUGGGCAUUGGACUAUGACUCUAGAGAUCAGGGUUGGAUUCCCUGCUCAGGUG
rnacentral:tRNA from 1 species